UACGAAGGGGGCUAGCGUUGCUCGGAAUCACUGGGCGUAAAGCGCACGUAGGCGGCUUGUUAAGUCAGGGGUGAAAUCCUGGAGCUCAACUCCAGGACUGCCUUUGAUACUGGCAAGCUUGGAGUCCGGGAGAGGUGAGUGGAACUGCGAGUGUAGGGGUGAAAUUCGUAGAUAUUCGCAAGAACACCAGCGGCGAAGGCGGCUCACUGGCCCGGUACUGACGCUGAGGUGCGAAAGCGUGGGGAGCAAACAGG
rnacentral:rRNA from 1 species